GAUGAAGAACGUAGCAAAGUGCGAUAACUAGUGUGAAUUGCAUAUUCAGUGAAUCAUCGAGUCUUUGAACGCAUCUUGCGCUCAAUGGUAUUCCAUUGAGCACGCCUGUUUCAGUAUCAAAAACACCCCACAUUCAACAUUUUUUUGUUGAAUGGAUAUGAGAGUCUUUCGGUAUAUUUUAUUAUACUGAUCUCUUUAAAAUAAUUAGGCCUGAACUAUUGUUCUUUCUGCCUGAACAUUUUUUUAAUAUAAAGGAAUGCUCUAGUAAAAAAAGACUAUCUUUGGGGGCCUCCCAAAUAAAUCAUUCUUAAAUUUGAUCUGAAAUCAGGCGGGAUUACCCGCUGAACUUAAGCAUAUCAUAAGCGGGGA
rnacentral:misc_RNA from 1 species